CUUACCAGCGAUUAGGCAUGUCGCAGAACCAUAACUGCAAAAGUGGCAAGGUGCUUGAUAGAAACGCUUGGCUCUAUCAAGUGUGGUGAAAACCUGCAAAGUACAUAGGGUAAAUAAAUUUGGCAUUGAGCCGUCCGAGAUAGAGCCUCGGGCGGUUUCUU
rfam:Clostridium sp. CAG:58 genomic scaffold, scf24